rnacentral:rRNA from 1 species
UACCAGCUCUCCGAGUGGUGUGGAUGCUUAUUGGGCCUAAAGCAUCCGUAGCUGGCUGGGCAAGUCCCCUGUUAAAUCCACCGAUUUAAUCGUUGGAGUGCGGGGGAUACUGUUCGGCUAGGGGACGGGAGAGGCAGACGGUAUUUUCGGGGUAGGGGUGAAAUCCUAUAAUCCCGGGAAGACCACCAGUGGCGAAGGCUGUCUGCUAGAACGCGCCCGACGGUGAGGGAUGAAAGCUGGGGGAGCGAACCGGAUUAGAUACCCGGGUAGUCCCAGCUGUAAACGAUGCAGGCUAGGUGUUUGGGCGGCCACGUGCCGCUCUAGUGCCGCAGGGAAGCCGUUAAGCCUGCCGCCUGGGGAGUACGGCCGCAAGGCUGAAACUUAAAGGAAUUGGCGGGGGAGCACCACAAGGGGUGAAGCUUGCGGUUU